AAAUGCGGGAAUACCUUUCAGUUCUAGGUCGCCCACCAGUAAAAUGCGGGAAUACUUUUCAGCUCUAGGUUGCCCACCAGUAUAAUGCGAGAAUUCCUUUCAGUUCUAGGUCGCCCACCAGUAAAAUGCGGGAAUACUUUUCAGUUCUAGGUCGCCCACCAGUAAAAUGCGGGAAUACUUUUCAGCUCUAGGUCGCCCACCAGUAUAAUGCGGGAAUACUUUUAAGUUCUAGGUCGCCCACCAGUAUAAUGCGGGAAUACAUUUAAGUUCUAGGUCGCCCACUAGUAUAAUGCGGGAAUUCCUUUCAGUUCUAGGUCGCCCACCAGUAAAAUGCUGGAAUACUUUUCAGCUCUAGGUUGCCCACCAGUAUAAUGCGAGAAUACUUUUCAGUUCUAGGUCGCCCACCAGUAUAAUGCGGGAAUACAUUUCUGAUUUUCAGUUCUAGGUCGCCCACCAGUAAAAUGCGGGAAUACUUUUCAGCUAUAGGUCGCCCACCAGUAAAAUGCGUGAAUACUUUUCAGCACUAGGUCGCCCACCAGUAUAAUGCGGGAAUACCUUUCAGUUCUAGGUCGCCCACCAGUAAAAUGCGGGAAUACUUUCAGUUCUAGGUCGCCCACCAGUAAAAUGCGGGAAUACUUUUCAGCUAUAGGUCGCCCAC
rnacentral:lncRNA from 1 species